rnacentral:rRNA from 1 species
GUGGGGAAUAUUGGACAAUGGGCGAAAGCCUGAUCCAGCCAUGCCGCGUGUGUGAAGAAGGUCUUCGGAUUGUAAAGCACUUUAAGUUGGGAGGAAGGGUAGUAACCUAAUACGUUGCUACUUUGACGUUACCGACAGAAUAAGCACCGGCUAACUUCGUGCCAGCAGCCGCGGUAAUACGAAGGGUGCAAGCGUUAAUCGGAAUUACUGGGCGUAAAGCGCGCGUAGGUGGUUCAGUAAGUUGGAAGUGAAAUCCCCGGGCUCAACCUGGGAACUGCAUUCAAAACUGCUGAGCUAGAGUACGGUAGAGGGUGGUGGAAUUUCCUGUGUAGCGGUGAAAUGCGUAGAUAUAGGAAGGAACACCAGUGGCGAAGGCGACCACCUGGACUGAUACUGACACUGAGGUGCGAAAGCGUGGGGAGCAAACAGGAUUAGAAACCCCUGUAGUCC